UACAGAGGUCUCAAGCGUUGUUCGGAUUCAUUGGGCGUAAAGGGUGCGUAGGCGGCGCGGUAAGUCGGGUGUGAAAUCUUGGAGCUUAACUCCGAAACUGCAUUCGAUACUGCGGUGCUUGAGGACUGGAGAGGAGACUGGAAUUCAUGGUGUAGCAGUGAAAUGCGUAGAGAUCAUGAGGAAGACCAGUGGCGAAGGCGGGUCUCUGGACAGUUCCUGACGCUGAGGCACGAAGGUCAGGGGAGCAAACGGG
rnacentral:rRNA from 1 species